rnacentral:rRNA from 1 species
UACGUAGGGUGCGAGCGUUAACCGGAAUUACUGGGCGUAAAGCGUGCGCAGGCGGUUUUGUAAGCCAGAUGUGAAAUCCCCGGGCUCAACCUGGGAAUGGCAUUUGGGACUGCAAGGCUCGAGUGCGGCAGAGGAGACUGGAAUUCCUGGUGUAGCAGUGAAAUGCGUAGAUAUCAGGAGGAAUACCGAUGGCGAAGGCAGGUCUCUGGGCUGACACUGACGCUCAUGCACGAAAGCGUGGGGAGCAAACAGG